rnacentral:rRNA from 1 species
CGAGCGAACAGAGAAGGAGCUUGCUCCUUUGACGUUAGCGGCGGACGGGUGAGUAACACGUGGGCAACCUACCUUAUAGUUUGGGAUAACUCCGGGAAACCGGGGCUAAUACCGAAUAAUCUAUUUUACUUCAUGGUGAAAUACUGAAAGACGGUUUCGGCUGUCGCUAUAAGAUGGGCCCGCGGCGCAUUAGCUAGUUGGUGAGGUAACGGCUCACCAAGGCGACGAUGCGUAGCCGACCUGAGAGGGUGAUCGGCCACACUGGGACUGAGACACGGCCCAGACUCCUACGGGAGGCAGCAGUAGGGAAUCUUCCACAAUGGGCGAAAGCCUGAUGGAGCAACGCCGCGUGAGUGAAGAAGGUUUUCGGAUCGUAAAACUCUGUUGUAAGGGAAGAACAAGUACAGUAGUAACUGGCUGUACCUUGACGGUACCUUAUUAGAAAGCCACGGCUAACUACGUGCCAGCAGCCGCGGUAAUACGUAGGUGGCAAGCGUUGUCCGGAAUUAUUGGGCGUAAAGCGCGCGCAGGCGGUCCUUUAAGUCUGAUGUGAAAGCCCACGGCUCAACCGUGGAGGGUCAUUGGAAACUGGGGGACUUGAGUGCAGAAGAGGAAAGUGGAAUUUCAAGUGUAGCGGUGAAAUGCGUAGAGAUUUGGAGGAACACCAGUGGCGAAGGCGACUUUCUGGUCUGUAACUGACGCUGAAGGCGCGAAAGCGUG